rnacentral:rRNA from 1 species
GGGGGGGCGAAGCGUUUGUUCGGAAUUACUGGGCGUAAAGCGCGCGCAGGCGGCCCGGCAAGUCCUACGUGAAAUCCCACAGCUCAACUGUGGAACUGCGUGGGAUACUGCCAGGCUUGAGUCCGGGAGAGGAGAGUGGAAUUCCCAGUGUAGCGGUGAAAUGCGUAGAUAUUGGGAGGAACACCGGUGGCGAAGGCGGCUCUCUGGACCGGUACUGACGCUGAGGCGCGAAAGCUAGGGGAGCAAACGGGGAUUAGAUACCCCGGUAGUCCUAGCUGUAAACUUUGAGCACUUUGUGUGGCGGGUAUCGACCCCCUGCCGUGCAGAAGCUAACGCAUUAAGUGCUCCGCCUGGGGAUACGGUCGCAAGGCUG